GAAAGCCGUAUUCGAUGAAAGUCGUAUGUACAGCUUGGAGGGAGAUCUUUCAUAUCUUUUGAGAUCCACCCUAC
rfam:Capsicum annuum cultivar Zunla-1 chromosome 3, whole genome shotgun sequence